AGUCAUAUAGUCUAUUAAGAUUUUAAAUUGCAAAUUUAAAGAUAAAUAUUUGAUAUUUUGUGACUU
rnacentral:tRNA from 1 species